rnacentral:rRNA from 1 species
UACGUAGGGGGCAAGCGUUGUCCGGAAUUAUUGGGCGUAAAGAGCGUGUAGGCGGCUUUACAGGUCCGUUGUGAAAACUCGAGGCUCAACCUCGAGACGCCGGUGGAAACCGUAAGGCUAGAGUCCGGAAGAGGAGAGUGGAAUUCCUGGUGUAGCGGUGAAAUGCGCAGAUAUCAGGAGGAACACCCGUGGCGAAAGCGGCCCUCUGGGACGGUACUGACGCUGAGACGCGAAAGCGUGGGGAGCAAACAGG